rnacentral:rRNA from 1 species
AGUGAACGCUGGCGGUAGGCCUAACACAUGCAAGUCGAACGGCUGCACAGGAGAGCUUGCUCUCUGGGUGGCGAGUGGCGGACGGGUGAGGAAUACAUCGGAAUCUACUCUGUCGUGGGGGAUAACCUAGGGAAACUUACGCUAGUACCGCAUACGACCUACGGGUGAAAGCAGGGGAUCUUCGGACCUUGCGCGAUUGAAUGGGCCGAUGUCGGAUUAGCUAGUUGGCGGGGUAAAGGCCCACCAAGGCGACGAUCCGUAGCUGGUCUGAGGGGAUGAUCAGCAACACUGGAACUGAGACACGGUCCAGACUCCUACGGGAGGCAGCAGUGGGGAAUAUUGGACAAUGGGCGCAAGCCUGAUCCAGCCAUACCGCGUGGGUGAAGAGGGCCUUCGGGUUGUAAAGCCCUUUUGUUGGGAAAGAAAUCCAGCUGGCUAAUACCCGGUUGGGAUGACGGUACCCAAAGAAUAAGCACCGGCUAACUUCGUGCCAGCCGCCGCCGUAA